rnacentral:rRNA from 1 species
GAUAUUGCACAAUGGGGGAAACCCUGAUGCAGCGACGCCGCGUGAGCGAUGAAGGUUUUCGGAUCGUAAAGCUCUGUCCUUGGGGAAGAAGGUCUUCGGACUUGACGGUACCUAAGGAGGAAGCCCCGGCCAACUACGUGCCAGCAGCCGCGGUAAUACGUAGGGGGCAAGCGUUGUCCGGAAUUAUUGGGCGUAAAGGGUGCGUAGGCGGCCCUUUAAGUCAGAUGUGAAAGCCCACGGCUUAACCGGGGGACUGCAUUUGAAACUGGAGGGCUUGAGUGUCGGAGAGGGCAGUGGAAUUCCCAGUGUAGCGGUGAAAUGCGUAGAUAUAGGAAGGAACAUCAGUGGCGAAGGCGACUACCUGGACUGAUACUGACACUGAGGUGCGAAAGCGUGGGGAGCAAAC